rnacentral:rRNA from 1 species
UACGGGGGGGGCAAGCGUUGUUCGGAAUUACUGGGCGUAAAGGGCUCGUAGGUGGCCAACUAAGUCAGACGUGAAAUCCCCAGGCUCAACUUGGGAACUGCGUCUGAUACUGGAUGGCUUGAAUUCGGGAGAGGGAUGCAGAAUUCCAGGUGUAGCGGUGAAAUGCGUAGAUAUCUGGAGGAAUACCGGUGGCGAAGGCGGCAUCCUGGACCGAUAUUGACACUGAUGAGCGAAAGCUAGGGGAGCAAACAGG